rnacentral:rRNA from 1 species
CCUACGGGUGGCAGCAGUGAGGAAUAUUGGUCAAUGGCCGGAAGGCUGAACCAGCCAAGCCGCGUGAAGGACGAAUGUGCCAAGCAUUGUAAACUUCUUUUGUCAAGGGACAAAAUCUGCCUCGUGUGCCUGACUGCGGGUACUUGAAGAAUAAGCAUCGGCUAACUCCGUGCCAGCAGCCGCGGUAAUACGGAGGAUGCGAGCGUUAUCCGGAUUUAUUGGGUUUAAAGGGUGCGUAGGCGGUCUGUUAAGUCAGCGGUAAAAGCCCGGGGCUCAACCCCGGUGAGCCGUUGAAACUGGCAGUCUUGAGAUGUCGAGAGGUAUGCGGAAUGCGCAAAGUAGCGGUGAAAUGCUUAGAUAUUGCGCAGAACUCCGAUUGCGAAGGCAGCAUACCGGCGGCGAACUGACGCUGAGGCACGAGAGCGUGGGUAUCGAACAGGAUUAGAUACCCUAGUAGUC